UACGUAGGGUGCAAGCGUUGUCCGGAAUUAUUGGGCGUAAAGAGCUCGUAGGCGGUUUGUCGCGUCUGCUGUGAAAACCCGAGGCUCAACCUCGGGCCUGCAGUGGGUACGGGCAGACUAGAGUGCGGUAGGGGAGAUUGGAAUUCCUGGUGUAGCGGUGAAAUGCGCAGAUAUCAGGAGGAACACCGGUGGCGAAGGCGGAUCUCUGGGCCUUACCUGACGCUGAGGCGCGAAAGCUAGGGGAGCAACAGG
rnacentral:rRNA from 1 species